rnacentral:snRNA from 2 species
AUCGCUUCUCGGCCUUUUGGCUCAGAUCAAGUGUAGUAUCUGUUCUUAUCAGUUUAAUAUCUGAUACGUCCCCCAUCGGGGACUACAUAUUAAAUGGAUUUUUCGAACAGGGAGUCGGAAAUGGGGCUUGCUCCGUCCGCUCCACGCAUCGACCCGGUAUUGCAGUACCUCCGGGAACGGUGCAACACUU